CGUGCAGGCGGGAGAGUAAGUCAGAUGUGAAAUGCCAAGGCUUAACCAUGGAACUGCAUCUGAAACUAUUUUCUUGAGUGCUGGAGAGGAAAGCGGAAUUCCUAGUGUAGCGGUGAAAUGCGUAGAUAUUAGGAGGAACACCAGUGGCGAAGGCGGCUCUCUGGACUGUAACUGACACUGAGGCACGAAAGCGUGGGGAGCAAACA
rnacentral:rRNA from 1 species